AAAUCCUGCAUACCACCACUGGCUACAUAGAGAAAUGCAUAAAUACAACUACUAGGAGAGCUAUGUCAAGAUAUGUAGCCAAAAGCCUAAUGCUAGGUGGUCUUUUGAAAGCUACUGCUUCUAGCUAGUGCUAUGAUACCAUGAAGGUAAAGGGACCAUGAAGCUGCUGUUCAAAAGCACUUCUACAGUCAGCAAAAGUUCUCCUUCAUCAGCAGGUUUAUUUAUUUUAGUCAAGUUUUAUAGCUUGAAAAGAGGAUAGUGCCUAAUGCCAAGUUGUGUUUUUUUUGCAGAUUAAAAACCUGGAGCCUGCCAUCUCUGAAAUGGCCAUAAACAUCCACUAAUAAUGUUAAGGAUCACAGAUGGGCAUCAGGAGGAGCCUAGGCUUUGAGAAGAAACCUGUCACUGGGGCAUCAUUUCUCCAGGAGCUGUCAGGAGCACUGUCUCUUUUGAAUGGUUCCUGUUCACAAAAGUAACAAACAUGUCAUUAUUUUGUAUUCCCAGAGAGCCAAAAGGAGGCAGUCCACUCCAAGCUGCCUUCAAAAGCAAAGAUUCUGCAAUCAGAAGCUGCAGCUCUGUGAGAGCUGAAGGAAGACGUGAGGGAGGAAGCAGAGAGCUGUAAAUGAUGGAUACCAGUCAGGUGUGGCUUUAAAACAUGCCAGCAGGAAUGCCUCUUGGCAAUGCCUGCAUAACAGAAGCUGCUGAGAUUGGGCACGACUGACAAUGUGAGGUUGUCACCUCUGUCUCAUGGAUAUCCUGUGCUCAAAGAUGAAGUGAUCUCUCCUGGUUCCUCACCCCAUGUUCUCCACUGAUCAGACCCAUUGGUGAUUAGAUGCUCAGCAGAAGUGAUUUUGCAGCCUUUGACACCUUGCAUCCCCUGCUGCCUGGAUUUCAAAGAGAGAAAAUCAGCUUCUGGUUUACCUCAAGUGCACUGGCAACACAAGUAGCAACAGACUUCCAGAUGAAGGAGCCUAUGCGGAACAUGUUAAAUGAUUCCAGACAUUGGAAGAUAACUUGUCAGACUUCACAGCAGCAGGAGGUCCAUGAUUCAAUGGAUUUAACAGCAAAGCUAUAAGCAAGCAUUGGACACAGUUCCUGUCUGAUUGAUUGUAAUGGACAGUAUGUGAGAACACUUCUGACUGAGAUUGCAAGAGGCUGGGAGAAAAAUCGGGGACAUUGGGUCAAACUGUUGCCAGAAAAAAAAACCAUCCAGCAAGAACUGGAAGAAACAUCAGAAAAAGUUGAAACUAAUUGUCUUAAACUUCUAAGACAGGUAGGGAAAUACAUCAGAAGAUGCUGAAGUUUUUUUUAUUGUGUUGAUCAGCAGUAACAAGAGGGAACAUUUUUACUCUGUCAUACUCAUAGAUGGCUAAACUUAGAGUUCCUGAGGCAAUUCCUUUUUACUGUUCAGUUGUAUUUUACAGACCACAUGCUCAUGAAAAGUGAACUGUCAAAGUAGGUAUUGAACAAAAGCACAGCUCUUUGGGUAAACUGGCCUUGAACCUUUGUCAUAGAUAAAAUAGGUACAGCUGAAGUAUUUGAGAUAUGAAGCCCCCGGUGGGGCCCAGGUGGACUACAGCAGAAUGACAAAUAUCUGAGGAACUUAAAUAGUUUCUGAAAGAGUCUGUGGCUGAGCUACCUGCUCAGGUAAAUGGCAAUGCUUUUGUGAGAUAUGUAUGGAUUUACUUAAUUGAGACAGAUUUUGAAUUCCUAAUCCUAAAUUAUUUGCCCAAAGCUCUUACCUCCACUCAAAUCAGGGAGAGAUAGGCUAAACCAACUUGCAAAAGAAGGUACAUGCUGUUUCUGAUGUAAGAAUUAAUGAAAUUAUUUUGAACACAAUAUGAGGAGAUAUUGAUGUUUGUUUUCUCUGAUUAAAUUUAGUGCCUUAGGACGCAUAGAUGAACAUGAAGUCAGAAUGCCAGGGGAGUAAAUAAUGAGUGUGUGUUUUAAGCUUGUAUCCAAAUGCACUGCUGUAACUUGAUUUGCAGUAGGCAUUUUGUCCAUUGUACAACACUGCACUGCAAGCUAUGGAGUUUACAGGUGUUAGCUUUGUCAUAGCACGACACCUCCUUGUUUCUCAGUUUUAAAAGAAGCACGUUGAAUAUGAUGGGGAGAAAGUUUAUUGCAAAACUGUGUAAAAGGCCACAGAAUUCAAAGAAAUUGUCUUCUCCUACUCCUGUACAGCUGCUGUUGCUUUUGCUGCUCUGAGAACAAAAACCAGCCCAUGUAUCAGCUCACAGCCACUCCUGCAGACAGACCUGUGGCUGGAUGGCAGCUCUAUGUGCAUGUGUGCCUGGGGUAAACUGAGUUUAGACAGUCAAGGUGGGUCUUGUCAUGAGGGCCUCAGUCCAGUGCUACUCUUAUUGUGACCAUUUAUUUUCUUUACACAUAAUUGUCUGUGAGGGACCUUCCCACACUUGCACUUGUAAAUAACUAACGAGGUUAAGUGUUUAGUGCCCAUUUUUCUCCUUAUUUCUGCGAAAGCUAAGGGAUCCUCUGGCUAUUUUUACUAUUCCAAAAAGUAUGUCUUGCUAGGUCAGCUGGAUUAAGCUGGCAUGCAUCUGGACCAGACUGCAUUAAAGCAAUUUUUCCUCUUCUCAUUACCUGAACUCAUUCAUUCACAGCUUGGUACUGAGAGUGCUGUUCUGAAUACACAUUAUUUGGGUCAUCUUCCCCUCAGCCCUCUGAGGUACAGAGAGAAGAGCUUCAGAUUUACAAUUCAACAUUAGAUUUACCAUUUCGCAAAGUCAGAAAUAAAAUUCAGGGGGGAGAGUAAAUGGCUUACUCAAGUGCCACACAUAAAGACAAAGAAAACAAAUAAAUCCCUUUAUUUGUGGAAAGAAUUUUUCCUUUCCCCCCUGCACAUCUUCAUGCAUCCUGCCUCUUUCUUUUUCACUGUCCAAGGAGAAAAUAUUUUUUGUCUCCACAGCCUACUAGGAAGGGUUCCUCAAAUUUAUUUACAUGGAAGUCGGCAGUUGUUGCACUGGUUAGCUUUAUAGGAGCAGCAAGUGCUGCAAUGACUGAAAUUAUGCAAACUGUGUGUGACAUCCACAGCUUCAUUGCUAGUGAACUAACAACAUAACCAAGUUAAAUCCACAGUAUGUCCGUUUUACAGAGGCAUAAAAUUCAGAGCAUUUAAUAAUAAAUCAGGGCCUUGCAUGUUGGGGGUGGGUCUUAAACUAUAAUCAAUUUUGAUAACCAAUUCAAUCAAGGAAACACAUAUGCCCUAAGGGAAAACGUAUUAGCAAAUUAAUUCACUGUGAUGAAGCAAACUUCUUUAUAAAAAGACAAAUGAAAAUGAGAAGGAUCUUAUUACUUAUGCAUGUGGAUGCUCCCUGUGUUAUUUGGUGUUUUAGAAUGCACGCAGAUUAUGGAGAAAAGGUUAUGUGGCAGAAGUGUGCAAAGUGGCUCUUGACCCAGCAGCUCUGAGAGGCUCAUCCUCCCAGGCAGAAAGGUCUGGCAGGCUUCUUAAUAUGCUUUGUGACCUGAAGAACCUGCUCAACAGCUGGAAGCGAUACAAGAGAAAACUCAAACCCAGCUCUUUCGACCCCCAUGGGAAGCUGGCAGCUCUCAAGUGUGAUGACUGUCCCUGGUACAAAGGAGAGCUCACGUGCAAAUGUGUGAGAGCUUUGUAGUGCUGUGUCUACAUCCUGAGCUGGCUCCUGAGAUGAAUAGAGAGCUAAUGAAGAUUUCGGAGGACUCACGUAGCAUGCUCUCCACAGCUCCUGCCUCCCAGGAGGGGAGUGUGUGCUGCACCUGCCAGAGCCCCAGGGCUCUCUGGAAGUGUUGCUGCAUGUGGGCUCUCCUGCAGCACCACUGCUGAUGGCAUUGUGUGAAUAAACACCUGCAAGCAUGCAAAGCUCUGCUAAGCACAGCAAAGGUGCCACUGGCCAUCCAUCCUUACGCUGUACUGAAGGAAUGAGGUGGUCAGGAUACUG